rnacentral:rRNA from 1 species
UAGGGAAUCUUCCACAAUGGACGCAAGUCUGAUGGAGCAACGCCGCGUGAGUGAAGAAGGCUUUCGGGUCGUAAAACUCUGUUAUUGAAGAAGAACGUGCGUGACAGUAACUGGUCAUGCAGUGACGGUAUUCAAUCAGAAAGUCACGGCUAACUACGUGCCAGCAGCCGCGGUAAUACGUAGGUGGCAAGCGUUGUCCGGAUUUAUUGGGCGUAAAGCGAGUGCAGGCGGUCUUUUAAGUCUGAUGUGAAAGCCUUCGGCUUAACCGAAGAAGGGCAUCGGAAACUGGGAGACUUGAGUGCAGAAGAGGAGAGUGGAACUCCAUGUGUAGCGGUGAAAUGCGUAGAUAUAUGGAAGAACACCAGUGGCGAAGGCGGCUCUCUGGUCUGUAACUGACGCUGAGGCUCGAAAGCGUGGGUAGCAAACAGGAUUAGAUACCCUGGUAGU